rnacentral:rRNA from 1 species
AUUGAACGCUGGCGGCGUGCUUAACACAUGCAAGUCGUGCGAGAAAGUCACCUUCGGGUGAUGAGUAGAGCGGCGCACGGGUGAGUAACGCGUGGAUUAUCUACCCUGGAGAUCGGGAUAACAGUUGGAAACGGCUGCUAAUACCGGAUACGAUUCUCUCUUUACUGAUUGGGUGAAAGGUGGCCUCUACAUGUAAGCUACCACUCUGGGAUGAGUCCGCGUUUCAUUAGUUUGUUGGUGGGGUAAUGGCUUACCAAGACUACGAUGAAUAGCUGGUCUGAGAGGAUGAUCAGCCACACUGGAACUGAAACACGGUCCAG